UAAUACGUAGGGUGCAAGCGUUAAUCGGAAUUACUGGGCGUAAAGCGUGCGCAGGCGGUUUUGUAAGACCGAUGUGAAAUCCCCGGGCUUAACCUGGGAACUGCAUUGGUGACUGCAAGGCUAGAGUGUGUCAGAGGGGGGUGGAAUUCCACGUGUAGCAGUGAAAUGCGUAGAGAUGUGGAGGAACACCGAUGGCGAAGGCAGCCCCCUGGGAUAACACUGACGCUCAUGCACGAAAGCGUGGGGAGCAAACAGGAUUAGAUACCCUGGUAGUCCACGCCCUAAACGAUGUGUACUAGUUGUCGGGCCUUUGCGGGCUUGGUAACGCAGCUAACGCGUGAAGUACACCGCCUGGGGAGUACGGUCGCAAGAUUA
rnacentral:rRNA from 1 species